GAGUUUGAUCAUGGCUCAGAACGAACGCUGGCGGCGUGGAUUAGGCAUGCAAGUCGUACGCGAAAGAGGGGGUAACCCCUCUAGUAGAGUGGCGAACGGGUGAGUAACGCGUGAAGAACCUGCCUUCAACAGGGGGAUAACACUCCCAACGGAGUGCUAAUACCGCAUGAGACCACGGGUCUGCAUGGACCUGAGGUCAAAGGUGGCCUCUGCUUGCAAGCUACCGGUUGAAGAUGGCUUCGCGUCCCAUUAGCUAGUUGGCGGGGUAACGGCCCACCAAGGCGACGAUGGGUAGCUGGUCUGAGAGGAUGGUCAGCCACACUGGGACUGAGAUACGGCCCAGACUCCUACGGGAGGCAGCAGUCGAGAGGCUUUGGCAAUGGGGGAAACCCUGACCAAGCGACGCCGCGUGGAGGAUGAAGGCCCUUGGGUUGUAAACUCCUUUUGCUGGGGAAGAAAUGCGAUCAGGUGAACAAUCUGGUCGUUUGACGGUACCCAGCGAAUAAGCUCCGGCUAACUCCGUGCCAGCAGCCGCGGUAACACGGGGGGAGCAAGCGUUGUUCGGAAUCACUGGGCGUAAAGGGCGUGUAGGCGGUCAGGUAAGUGGAAUGUGAAAUGCCCCGGCUCACCCGGGGACCGGCAUCCCAAACUGCCUGGCUUGAGUAU
rnacentral:rRNA from 1 species